GUAAUUUUAGCGUUUUUACUAUUUAACUUUAGGGGAGCACGAUGACGACGGCGGAUAUCGUGGAAACUGGUUCUUUAAUAUGCAAGAGAUAUAUGUUGAAAUAUCUAUGAGGGGAAUCAAACUCUUUGGAAGAAAUAAGCUGUACAAAUACAGUGACCAUAUAUAGGGAUUAAACGGAAAGCAAACGAAAAAUUUGGAGAGCGGAGAUCCAGCUGACUCGUUGCCCACACACACACAUGCUGUUGGACUCUUCCAUGCGUUGCACGAUACGUCUAUUAACAGCAGACAUUUUUCUGACAGCAAGAAGGGCUCCCCUGUACGGGAGGAUCUGCGAUGGAGACGGCGAGAAAAUACCAGGCCAUGAACAUAAUAUAAUCAGUGUGUAAACGGAUGGUGGUGGUGGUGGGCUACUUACCACCGGGACCUCCAGGCGUAAUUGCUGAUAAGCCAAGAUGAACCGUUAACAUGACCAAUAUCAGAAGAAGCAGCAGCCGAGUCGUCAAGAAACCACAACCGUUUCUUUGCAUGUUUUGUUUCCUGGUUGGCAGUUGGCACCGAGGGAUGACGAUGCUACGCCUAAAAUCACAAAGCUUCCGGAGCCUAUU
rnacentral:lncRNA from 1 species